rnacentral:lncRNA from 1 species
GGCGGCCUCGCCUCACGGCCUUCCCGUGCUACCCCCGUGCCCGGGAGAUGCCCGCACGUCUCCCCGGGCCCGCCUGAUGCCCAAGAGACGACCCCCGGCCCGCCCCGCCUCUCGCUGAGGCAGUACCCCGGCCGAGCCGCCAGAUGUCAGCACGAGGCUUUGUGCCUCGCUCCGCUCUCAGUGACUGCUCCAGUCGCCAAAUAGCACGAAGCUUUCCCGUACAAUCCCAGGCCCUGCUUCAGCCCAUCCGCCUCUCCCGCUCAGAAGACUUUUUUGGAAGUAUAUGAUGAGCAACCAUUGAGAUUGGAUGGAAAGCAUCAGCAGCACCAGGAAACUCUUGGCAUAUGGAUAGUCUGUUGAUAUCCAGAUGCCAUCCAGUGAAAGGGGAAGUGCAUGAAUCCAGGGGAGGCAAUGCAUGCAGCAGCUGCGCAGCUAUCAGAUCCCAGCCCUCUGCGAGCAGAAUCUGUCCUCCUCAGGGGAGUAAAUUUGCUCCCCCCACGUAAGUCUUUCAUGAACAGAUGCAGCAAUAAACACAAAACAGGAAUCUGAAGGUCUUUUCACGUUUCUUGUAGCUGAAAAGCAGAAGUACCAAAUCACAUUAGGUGACGCAGCUCAAAUAAACGCUGUUGCAAAGGAAGAAGAGCACAAAAUCAAUCUUAUUUCUCCAGCCGGGAAA